rnacentral:rRNA from 1 species
UACGUAGGGUGCAAGCGUUAAUCGGAAUUACUGGGCGUAAAGCGUGCGCAGGCGGUUAUGCAAGACAGAUGUGAAAUCCCCCGGGCUCAACCUGGGAACUGCAUUUGUGACUGCAUGGCUAGAGUACGGUAGAGGGGGAUGGAAUUCCGCGUGUAGCAGUGAAAUGCGUAGAUAUGCGGAGGAACACCGAUGGCGAAGGCGGCAUCCUGGACCGGUAUUGACGCUGAGCGCGAAGACUAGGGGAGCAAACGGG